UCCUUCCACCUCUCCGAUUGAUCCCCCCUCCUUCAUUGCCUAUGUUCCUUUUUCUCCCUCCUUCCUCCUCUCCUUUCUUCUUAUCCGUUUCUCCUCCAAUUCCUCCUCUUUCUUCCUCCUCCUUUCUCCUCCACUCCUUUCCCACCUAUUUCUCCAUUUUCUUCCCUUCCUCUAUCCACUUUUCCUCCUUAUCCUCCUUCUCUAAGUUGUCUAUAAACCAUCCCCCUGCAUGACGGCCUCCUCCACCUCUAGCCCUUCUUGCCUUCCCCAUCUUCUUCCUUCCCAUCUUCUUCUCCUCCUUAUACUUCUCAUCCACUCCAUUCCUUAUCGG
rnacentral:lncRNA from 1 species